rnacentral:rRNA from 1 species
ACGGAAGGCAGCAGUGGGGAAUAUUGCACGAUGGGGGAAACCCUGAUGCAGCGACGCCGCGUGAGUGAAGAAGUAUUUCGGUAUGUAAAGCUCUAUCAGCAAGGAAGAAAAUGACGGUACUUGACUAAGAAGCCCCGGCUAACUACGUGCCAGCAGCCGCGGUAGUACGUAGGGGGCAAGCGUUAUCCGGAUUUACUGGGUGUAAAGGGAGCGUAGACGGUAAUGCAAGUCAGAAGUGAAAGCCCAAGGCUCAACCAUGGGACUGCUUUUGAAACUGUAAUACUAGAGUGCAGGAGAGGUAAGUGGAAUUCCUAGUGUAGCGGUGAAAUGCGUAGAUAUUAGGAGGAACACCAGUGGCGAAGGCGGCUUACUGGACUGUAACUGACGUUGAGGCUCGAAAGCGUGGGGAGCAAACAGGAUUAGAUACCCUGGUA